GACGAACGCUGGCGGCGUGCUUUACACAUGCAAGUCGAACGGAAAGGCCCUGCUUUUGUGGGGUGCUCGAGUGGCGAACGGGUGAGUAACACGUGAGUAACCUGCCCUUGACGUUGGGAUAACUUCAGGAAACUGGGGCUAAUACCGGAUAGGAGCUCCUGCUGCAUGGUGGGGGUUGGAAAGUUUCGGCGGUUGGGGAUGGACUCGCGGCUUAUCAGCUUGUUGGUGGGGUAGUGGCUUACCAAGGCUUUGACGGGUAGCCGGCAGGAGAGGGUGACCGGCCACAUUGGGACUGAGGUACGGCCCAGACUCCUACGGGAGGCAGAAGUGGGGAAUAUUGCACAAUGGGCGGAAGCGUGAUGCAGCAACGCCGCGUGCGGGAUGACGGCCUUCGGGUUGUAAACCGCUUUCGCCUGUGACGAAGCGUGAGUGACGGUAAUGGGUAAAGAAGCACCGGCUAACUACGUG
rnacentral:rRNA from 1 species